rnacentral:sRNA from 1 species
CCCGCCGUUAAAAACAGCGGGCUACUUUCUGCCGUCCCUCCGGGACU